rnacentral:rRNA from 1 species
GGAUUGCCCUAGUAACGGCGAGUGAAGCGGCAACAGCUCAAAUUUGAAAUCUGGCGUCUUUGGCGUCCGAGUUGUAAUUUGCAGAGGGCGCUUUGGCAUUGGCAGCGGUCCAAGUUCCUUGGAACAGGACGUCACAGAGGGUGAGAAUCCCGUACGUGGUCGCUAGCCUUUACCGUGUAAAGCCCCUUCGACGAGUCGAGUUGUUUGGGAAUGCAGCUCUAAAUGGGAGGUAAAUUUCUUCUAAAGCUAAAUACUGGCCAGAGACCGAUAGCGCACAAGUAGAGUGAUCGAAAGAUGAAAAGCACUUUGGAAAGGAGAGUUAAAAAGCACGUGAAAUUGUUGAAAGGGAAGCGCUUGCAGCCAGACUUGCCUGUAGUUGCUCAUCCGGGUUUUUACCCGGUGCACUCUUCUAUAGGCAGGCCAGCAUCAGUUUGGGCGGUUGGAUAAAGGUCUCUGUCACGUACCUCCUCUCGGGGAGAACUUAUAGGGGAGACGUAAUGCAACCAGCCUGGACUGAGGUCCGCGCAUCUGCUAGGAUGCUGGCGUAAUGGCUGUAAGCGGCCCGUCUUGAAACACGGACCAAGGAGUCUAACAUCUAUGCGAGUGUUUGGGUGUCAAGCCCGAGCGCGUAAUGAAAGUGAACGGAGGUGGGAACCUUUCGGGGUGCACCAUCGACCGAUCCUGAUGUCUUCGGAUGGAUUUGAGUAAGAGCAUAGCUGUUGGGACCCGAAAGAUGGUGAACUAUGCUUGAAUAGGGUGAAGCCAGAGGAAACUCUGGUGGAGGCUCGCAGCGGUUCUGACGUGCAAAUCGAUCGUCAAAUUUGGGCAUAGGGGCGAAAGACUAAUCGAACUAUCUAGUAGCUGGUUCCUGCCGAAGUUUCCCUCAGGAUAGCAGUAACGUUUUCAGUUUUAUGAGGUAAAGCGAAUGAUUAGAGGCCUGGGGGUUGAAACAACCUUCACCUAUUCUCAAACUUUAAAUAUGUAAGAAGUCCUUGUUACUUAAUUGAACGUGGACAGUUGAAUGUAUCGUUACUAGUGGGCCAUUUUUGGUAAGCAGAACUGGCGAUGCGGGAUGAACCGAACGCGGGGUUAAGGUGCCAGAAUAUACGCUCAUCAGACACCACAAAAGGUGUUAGUUCAUCUAGACAGCAGGACGGUGGCCAUGGAAGUCGGAAUCCGCUAAGGAGUGUGUAACAACUCACCUGCCGAAUGAACUAGCCCUGAAAAUGGAUGGCGCUCAAGCGUAUUACCCAUACCCCGCCGCUGGGGCAAGAUUUAAGCCCCAGCGAGUAGGCAGGCGUGGAGGUCCGUGACGAAGCCUGG